UACGGUGGUGGCUAGCGUUGUUCGGAAUUACUGGGCGUAAAGCGCACGUAGGCGGUCUUUUAAGUCAGAGGUGAAAGCCCGGGGCUCAACUCCGGAAUUGCCUUUGAAACUGGAAGACUUGAACACGGGAGAGGUGAGUGGAAUUCCGAGUGUAGAGGUGAAAUUCGUAGAUAUUCGGAGGAACACCAGUGGCGAAGGCGGCUCACUGGACCGUUGUUGACGCUGAGGUGCGAAAGCGUGGGGAGCAAACAGG
rnacentral:rRNA from 1 species